ensembl:rRNA 5S_rRNA 5S ribosomal RNA
GGCCACAGCCUUAUCACUUAUCACCCUACAGCUCAAGACCAGGUUAAUCACUGAAGCUAAGCAGGGCUGAGCCUGGUCAGUACCUAGAUGGGAGACCACAUGGGAAAACUAGGUUGCUGUUGGAA